CCGAUGGCGACCGGCGCACGGGUGAGUAACACGUAUCCAACCUGCCGAUAACUCGGGGAUAGCCUUUCGAAAGAAAGAUUAAUAUCCGAUGGUAUAUUUUCUCCGCAUGGUGAGAAUAUUAAAGAAUUUCGGUUAUCGAUGGGGAUGCGUUCCAUUAGUUUGUUGGCGGGGUAACGGCCCACCAAGACCACGAUGGAUAGGGGUUCUGAGAGGAAGGUCCCCCACAUUGGAACUGAGACACGGUCCAA
rnacentral:rRNA from 1 species